rnacentral:rRNA from 1 species
CCUAUGGGUGGCAGCAGUAGGGAAUCUUCCACAAUGGGCGAAAGCCUGAUGGAGCAACGCCGCGUGGGUGAAGAAGGUCUUCGGAUCGUAAAACCCUGUUGUUAGAGAAGAAAGUGCGUGAGAGUAACUGUUCUCGUUUCGACGGUAUCUAACCAGAAAGCCACGGCGAACUACGUGACAGCAGCCGCGGUAAUACGUAGGUGGCAUGCGUUAUCCGGAUUUAUUGGGAGUAAAGGGAACGCAGGCGGUCUUUUAAGUUUGAUGUGAAAGCCGUCGGCUUAACCGGAGUAGUGCAUUGGAAACUGGGAGACUUGAGUGCAGAAGAGGAGAGUGGAAUUCGAUGUGUAGCGGUGAAAUGCGUAGAUAUAUGGAAGAACACCAGUGGCGAAGGCGGCUCUCUGGUCUGUAACUGACGCUGAGGUUCGAAAGCGUGGGUAGCAAACAGGAUUAGAUACCCGUGUAGUC